rnacentral:tRNA from 1 species
AAAAUAAAGCGAUCAUAUUGCAAUCAGUUUCGACCUGAGCCUAGAAAAUAUUUCUAUUUUU